UACAGAGGGGGCAAGCGUUGUUCGGAAUUACUGGGCGUAAAGGGCGCGUAGGCGGCCUUCUAAGUCGAACGUGAAAUCCCCGGGCUCAACCCGGGAACUGCGUCCGAUACUGGAAGGCUUGAAUCCGGGAGAGGGAUGCGGAAUUCCAGGUGUAGCGGUGAAAUGCGUAGAUAUCUGGAGGAACACCUGCGGCGAAGGCGGGUUGCUGGGCUGACACUGACGCUGAGGCGCGAAAGCCAGGGGAGCGAACGGG
rnacentral:rRNA from 1 species